UUGGAGGGCAAGUCUGGUGCCAGCAGCCGCGGUAAUUCCAGCUCCAAUAGCGUAUAUUAAAGUUGUUGCAGUUAAAAAGCUCGUAGUUGAACUUCGGGGUUCACCCAUUGGUCAGGCUUAAUUGUCUGUACUGGUGAGAUGAGUCUCUACCUUCUGAGGAACUUUCAUGCCAUUUGUUUGGUGUGAUUGGAAAUCAGGACUGUUACUUUGAAAAAAUUAGAGUGUUUAAAGCAGGCUAACGUCUGAAUACAUUAGCAUGGAAUAAUGAAAUAGGACGGAUUGAUUCUAUUUCGUUGGUUUCUAGGGUCACCGUAAUGAUUAAUAGGGAUAGUUGGGGGCAUUAGUAUUCAAUUGUCAGAGGUGAAAUUCUUGGAUUUAUUGAAGACUAACUACUGCGAAAGCAUUUGCCAAGGAUGUUUUCAUUAAUCAAGAACGAAAGUUAGGGGAUCGAAGACGAUCAGAUACCGUCGUAGUCUUAACCAUAAACUAUGCCGACUAGGGAUCGGACGCAGUUAAUUUUAUAAUGACGUGUUCGGCACCUUACGGGAAACCAAAG
rnacentral:rRNA from 1 species